rnacentral:rRNA from 1 species
UUGAACGCUGGCGGCAGGCCUAACACCUGCAAGUCGAACGGUAACAGGAAGCAGCUUGCUGCUUUGCUGACGAGUGGCGGACGGGUGAGUAAUGUCUGGGAAACUGCCUGAUGGAGGGGGAUAACUACUGGAAACGGUAGCUAAUACCGCAUAACGUCGCAAGACCAAAGAGGGGGACCUUCGGGCCUCUUGCCAUCGGAUGUGCCCAGAUGGGAUUAGCUUGUUGGUGGGGUAACGGCUCACCAAGGCGACGAUCCCUAGCUGGUCUGAGAGGAUGACCAGCCACACUGGAACUGAGACACGGUCCAGACUCCUACGGGAGGCAGCAGUGGGGAAUAUUGCACAAUGGGCGCAAGCCUGAUGCAGCCAUGCCGCGUGUAUGAAGAAGGCCUUCGGGUUGUAAAGUACUUUCAGCGGGGAGGAAGGGAGUAAAGUUAAUACCUUUACUCAUUGACGUUACCCGCAGAAGAAGCACCGGCUAACUCCGUG